GCUGGAGCGGGACACGGAACCGGGAACCGGGAACCGGCAAACCGGCGCGGGCGGGCAGGACCCUCCGGGACAUCACCGGCCGCCCAGAGCCAGCACGGACUGCUCGCCAGGCCAGGAUCUCAUAGAUGGAUCCAACCCAGAGGUCUCUGAAGAACAGGGGACUCAGGGCAAACUGUGCAGGAGCCGGGGAUGAACCCGCAGGUUCCCGGGAGGAAUCCCCAGGGCCCAGCAGGAGGCAUUAACAGCACGUCUCUCCAGCGAGCCGUGAUGGGAAGAGAACGGAGCAAAAAAAAGGUAAAGUGCUUAAAAACAACUUGUAUUUUUAGAGCCCAGUCUCCCCCAGAAAUCUUCGCAGAUGUUGAGCUCUCCACUUCUGAUUUGCAAGGAAUAAUAGUUUGGAAGCCCAGCUGAGACUCCUGGGCUGUAAAUUUUCUGUAAUGCUUUUCUCCAGACCCAUUUGCUGUCCUGCUAAUUAAUCCAGGUAAUGGCUGGGUUGUUUUUUUUCCCUUCAGCAGCAGUUUUCCUUUUUGUUAACACGAACAGAGAGAACUGGAGAACCGAUCUCUCGAAGGAUCCUGGCUGGCAGCAAUAUCAGCAUCUGACUGAAGAGAACUCAGCCACACGCAUAAUCCUCGGGAAAAUUCAUCUCCACCCUCCGCAGACCCCGGUGAGAGCCCUUGAAGUGGUAAUUAAAGUCUAUUGAGUGGCAACUGCACCUGUUUAGAGAGGAGAGUGCGGGUAAGAGGUGCACAAAGGGAGAUGAGCAGCGCAGAGAGGAGCUGCUGGAGGUGGGGAGGAAGAGAAGUGGAAAGAAUGGGGAGAAAAAAAGUGUUCGUUGCUUUGUUGAAGUCGAUCCAAUCAGUUGUGCAUUUCCAUCCUGCCCCGGAUCUGCUCCCUCCCCGC